rnacentral:lncRNA from 1 species
UACCUCGCACGCAAUUAUUCAUCUUCGCGGGCACCAUCAGCGUCUCGAGAUGACGCGCUUCACAAUAGCAGCGAGUGCGUCACAAAUUCACACCUUGGACGCGUGAAUCGGGUCAUCUGCGGUUUCUUGUCGCCUUCCCCCUCUCUAACAUGUCCUUUAUCAGAUGAUACGAUGUGCAGCGGCAAGGACAACACACGUUUCUUCCUCUUGGCUCGAGAUUGUUUCAUGUCAAAGCUCAAGGACGAUGAGAUUCAUCUAGCCAUCUAUUCCCCCCUUCCCUUUUGAGAAUCUGUUGAAUUUUUUCAUAAAAAGUUGAUUCCAAUUGGAUGCUGGGUUUUUGGUUUUCAAAUUUUGAAAGAAUCACAGGGUUGAUUGGGGAUUUCACAAGAAAUUUGUAACCCUAAUCCCGCUCUUAUAUAAGAUCGUUUUCUCAAGCCUUAGAGGGGAGAUUUUUUUUUUGACGAUAAAAAAGGGGCAGCCACAGAAGAUUUUUGAAGAAGCUAAAAAAUAUAUUGAGGAAGAUUUUCUGGGAAAUUUGUGGGAGAUUUUCUUUAUGAAAAUAGGGGAAAUCUUGAGAGUUUUUGCCAGUGUUAAUGAGAAGAAUAUAGUUGACUCCAAAAUUUAUCGAAUAUAUUUUAGUCUGGACUUUUGCUCACUCGAAUUCGUCUAGUUGAUGUCUUCUUGAAGUGGUUCACUUGCGUGGAAAUCCUUUCCUCUUUCAAGAUCGUUGCUGCCUUCAUUUCGCUGCAUCCUAAAAGAACAAGCCCGUUUCAGAGUGGUCGUAUAGGCCCCGAGUUAAAAGAAUUUGGAGCAAAUGAAAGAGUUGAAGAAGUGGGGCCAAGAAACCCAUAUUAUUUUAUUCUUUUCUUUAUAUUUUGUAAUUUUUGGGCCUAAGCCCUUGUUGUAUUUCCUUUUGUGUUUAGUUUUUUAUUUAUUUAGUGAACAUGUGGAAAUGGGCCAAAAUCCCAAAACAGAUGGGUCCAAGUUUCGUUCAAGGCGGAUAGAACUCGGGUUGGACCCAAUCUCUCUCUCCCUCUCUCUGUCUCUGUCUCU